GACGAACGCUGGCGGCGUGCUUAACACAUGCAAGUCGAACGGAAAGGCCCUGCUUUUGUGGGGUGCUCGAGUGGCGAACGGGUGAGUAACACGUGAGUAACCUGCCCUUGACUUUGGGAUAACUUCAGGAAACUGGGGCUAAUACCGGAUAGGAGCUCCUGCUGCAUGGUGGGGGUUGGAAAGUUUCGGCGGUUGGGGAGGGACUCGCGGCUUAUCAGCUUGUUGGUGUGGUAGUGUAUUACCAAGGCUUUGCCCCGUAGCCUGCCUGAUAGGGGGAGCUGCCCAGUCAGAAUGGGACUGCGGCCCGGCCUACAAUGGGAGGCGAGACUGGGGUAGAGAGCACUAUACACUGGGGCCAGAUGCAGCACCGCCGCGUCGCGUAUGACAGCCAUCGGUUAGUAAUCCGAUUUCGUUUGAGACGAGACGUGAGUGACGGUAAUGGGAAAAGAAGCACCGGCUAACUCCGUG
rnacentral:rRNA from 1 species